GUGGCCUCAUUAAUUUCAAAGGACAGCCUCCCUCUGCUGCAAAGAAGAACCAUCAGAGACCAAACUUCUCUGGACCUGAGCCCAGCUGUGUGUCCAUGAAGAGUGACAGGUCAAAGCGUGGCCUCAUUAAUUUCAAAGGACAGCCUCCCUCUGCUGCAAAGAAAGUGGACCAGGAGAGCUCAGAGGUUCCCAGUGC